UGAUCAUGAUUUAGAAAAUGAGGAAACUCAAAUUACUGAUAUGCCAGAAAAACCAACAAGAAGAACCAGAAGACUAUAUCUCGUGUGGAAAGUUCAUUCAGUCGAGCUUUGGCUCAUAUAAUGGGCCAUUCCAUUUAAUACAGCCCCCCCCUGCCUAUUGAGGGGUCCCUUCAUAAUCCCCUUAGGAUAUAAACAUUUUAGAACCCCCCUUGGAUGUGAUUUUUGGAAGUUACCCCAUGGAUAUCUUUAUACCCACUUUAGGAUAUCGUUUUUACCCCCUUGGAUACCACUAUAAAAACACCUAAUUUUUGCUAUUUUUUGGAAAAUUUCUUAAGCUACCCUCUAGGAAAAUUUAAGGUAAAACCCCCUCCCCCCAUAGGAUAUCCAGACCCCUCAAUAGGGGGGGGGGGUGCCUAUAUUAAAUGGAAUGGCCCAUUCAAAGUCCUGGCACAUCAGCAAAGGUAUAAUAAAAACAAUUAUGGUAGACGAAAUUGUACUUAAAACUGUUAUUCUUUGCUAUUCUAUUCUUUAAAUCGUCUUUGUAUAUUCAGUGUAACACCUCUGUGUAACAUUAUUCUGCAGUGUAUAAACAUUAUUCAUGUAUGAUUAUUCAUAUGUCAUCUGUGACUCAAUUUCCAUUUUAGUAAAUGACAUACUUUUUUGUAGUUUCCUAGCAGAAAGAUCAAGCUGACUCCUUCAAAGAAGUCACCAGUGAAAAAACAUAAAUAGACCUUUGAGGAAAAUAAAGUUAUGGAAAAAUUUUGUCCAUAAUAAAUAUAAUAACAACAAUUUACAAUAUCCUAGUAAUCUAUGUCACUGUUAUAAUUGCCUAGAUCCAUAAUAAAAUAAAAUAACAACAAUUUACAAUAUACUUCUUGUGUGUGUUGGUGUUAUGUACUCAGGUGAAUAUGAUGUUUGUGAUGUUACUCUGAGUGUGCAUCCACACCAAGCCGAGCUCAGUUGGUAGAGCAUUGGACUAAUAUCCCAAAGAUCGCAGGUUCGAUUCCCACCGUGGUCAGGCAAACUUUUCAGCUUGCCCGGUGUGCAUGCACACUCAGAAUAACAUUGCAAACAUCAAUUUACAAUAUUCUAGUAAUUUAUGUCACUGUUAUAAUUGUAGGGAUCCAUAAUAAAAUAAAUAUGUAGGGAUCCAUAAUAAAAUAAAAUAAUUUACAAUGGCUCAUUCCAGAAAACAUCCAUACCACCCCCACAGAGGAAAUUGGAAGUUAACCCCCCUACCCCCUUUGAAUGUCCUAAUACAUGUACUAUUAUCAGGAACAAUUUUUUCUUCCCUCCCCCUCCAGACGGCAGAAAUUUCCUCCGUGGGGAGGAGUAUGGAUCUUUUCUGGAACGACCCAAUAUUCUAGUAAUCCAUGUGACUGUUAUAAUUGUUUCUUGGGUCAUCUCUGUCCCAUGGUCCACUUUUCACAAUCAACAAUGCUGUACUGUGGAGUAAUAUCCACCAAGCACACAGAAUUUAUUGGUUGUAGAUCACAGUUACAUCCAGUUUGCCCUUGUAAAUUUAUUGGUUGUAG